GUAUCUUCAUCUAAAUAUUAGUAAAAUGUUCGCUCCAUAUUAAGCUACAACAACUGAAUCCAGCCUGGUCAGGUUCAGAAUAGACUAGAUUGAUCUUUAUAUCUGAACCUGCCUUCUGAGUUCUGAUCUUUUUGACCUUGUUCUGAUACUAACAAACAAAAGUAAACAUCCAGCACACUAUGAAGUAUUCAUUAUUAGCUUUAAAGAUAC
rnacentral:lncRNA from 1 species